rnacentral:tRNA from 1 species
UUAAAUCUAGUAUAAUUUAUUACGAAUAGUUGCAGCCUAUUAGAUCUUCUAGGGUUUAUU